UUUAAACCGAUUCCUUUACGUUUUUUUUUUCUUUUUUCUUUUACAGGUACUUUGUCAAGAGUAACAAACGAUAUCUGGGAGACGCUGAUGGACGCUGCGUCUAGUCAACGACCGUAGGUUGUGCACGGCUGCCGGAGCACCUUCGGGAAACGCUAACCGCCGAUUCAAGCCUGCACAGCAGUGACUGGAGAUACAGCAACCUUGUAUGAAAAGUGCCGAUAAGACAGUGCAGCCAACAGAAGGUUGCAUCUCUGCGCCCACGGUCCUGCUCGACAGUGGCUGAGACGUGCAACACAGUUGCGCCCAACUUCCCUCUAUGCUACAAGCACCCCAGGAGCUACUAUCGCCCGAAGAUGUCACAGGCGGUCAUGAUUCUUUGAGGCAGCGGAAUUUCACCGAAGUGCAUCUUUAACACCUUCAGUUUCUUUUCUACUGCAAGCCUGGUACUACAGCUUGUGGCUCGUGUAGAAGAAUAGAGGGGUGAAACCAAGGCUCAAGUGACUGUGGACUCAUGGCCCUCAGACAGCUAGAGCACCAGACCAGGCACAGACCAGAGCCAUUUAUGCUCCACUUCUAGAGGACAUGUUGCUGUUUGAAACUACCAAGACUCAUGGAAGCUGCUGACAGGAGGCUGUUGUAGCCGUGGUCGCAAGGCACCCAUGACAUUGAAGUCUUCCGAGCAAGGCACUAUGAAGGCAUGGCUUAUAGCGGCACCGGAGCAAGCGACACGGUGCGGGUGAGCUGCAAGUGUAACUGUUACACCGUAAACAGGAAAUAUAGACAUGUGUCCGACAAA